rnacentral:rRNA from 1 species
AUUGAACGCUGGCGGGAUGCCAUACACAUGCAAGUCGAACGAGUGGCGAACGGGUGAGUAAUGUAUCGGAACGUGCCCAGUAGCGGGGGAUAACUACGCGAAACGUAGCUAAUACCGCAUACUAUUGGAGCGGCCGAUAUCGGAUUAGCUAGUUGGUGGGGUAACGGCUCACCAAGGCGCCGAUCCGUAGCUGGUUUGAGAGGACGACCAGCCACCCUGGAACUGCGACACGGCCCAGACUCCUACGGUAGGCAGCAGUGGUGAAUUUUGGACAAUGGGGGAAACCCUGAUCCAGCCAUCCCGCGUGUGCGAUGAAGGCCUUAGGGUUGUAAAGUACUUUAAGCGGGGAGGCGUUACCCGCAGAAGAAGCACCGGCUAACUCCGUGCCAGCAGCCGCGGUAAUUC